AGUGAACGCUGGCGGUAGGCCUAGCACAUGCAAGUCGAACGGCAGCACAGUAAGAGCUUGCUCUUACGGGUGGCGAGUGGCGGACGGGUGAGGAAUACAUCGGAAUCUACUUUUUCGUGGGGGAUAACGUAGGGAAACUUACGCUAAUACCGCAUACGACCUACGGGUGAAAGCAGGGGAUCUUCGGACCUUGCGCGAUUGAAUGAGCCGAUGUCGGAUUAGCUAGUUGGCGGGGUAAAGGCCCACCAAGGCGACGAUCCGUAGCUGGUCUGAGAGGAUGAUCAGCCACACUGGAACUGAGACACGGUCCAGACUCCUACGUGAGGCAGCAGUGGGGAAUAUUGGACAAUGGGCGCAAGCCUGAUCCAGCCGUACCGCGUGGGUGAAGAAGGCCUUCGGGUUGUAAAGCCCUUUUGUUGGGAAAGAAAAGCAGCAGGUUAAUACCCCGCUGUUCUGACGGUACCCAAAGAAUAAGCACCGGCUAACUUCGUG
rnacentral:rRNA from 1 species